CUACGUGCCAGCAGCCGCGGUAAUACGUAGGGGGCAAGCGUUAUCCGGAUUUACUGGGUGUAAAGGGAGCGUAGACGGAUGUGCAAGCCAGAUGUGAAAACCCGGGGCUCAACCCCGGGACUGCAUUUGGAACUGUGCGUCUAGAGUGCUGGAGAGGUAAGUGGAAUUCCUAGUGUAGCGGUGAAAUGCGUAGAUAUUAGGAGGAACACCAGUGGCGAAGGCGGCUUACUGGACAGUAACUGACGUUGAGGCUCGAAAGCGUGGGGAGCA
rnacentral:rRNA from 1 species